AAUAGAUACCCGGGUAGUCCAUGCCGUAAACGUUGGGCGCUAGAUGUGGGGACCAUUCCACGGUUUCCGUGUCGCAGCUAACGCAUUAAGCGCCCCGCCUAGGGAGUACGGCCGCAAGGCUAAAACUCAAAGGAAUUGACGGGGGCCCGCACAAGCGGCGGAGCAUGCGGAUUAAUUCGAUGCAACGCGAAGAACCUUACCAAGGCUUGACAUAUACGAGAACGCUGCAGAAAUGUAGAACUCUUUGGACACUCGUAUACAGGUGGUGCAUGGUUGUCGUCAGCUCGUGUCGUGAGAUGUUGGGUUAAGUCCCGCAACGAGCGCAACCCUCGUUCUAUGUUGCCAGCACGUAAUGGUGGGAACUCAUAGGAGACUGCCGGGGUCAACUCGGAGGAAGGUGGGGAUGACGUCAAAUCAUCAUGCCCCUUAUGUCUUGGGCUUCACGCAUGCUACAAUGGCCGGUACAAAGGGCUGCAAUCCGUAAGGUGGAGCGAAUCCCAAAAAGCCGGUCUCAGUUCGGA
rnacentral:rRNA from 1 species